ACUAAAAUCUGUCUCUUGAUUUUUUUAUUGCCGUUGUGCUGACUAACGAGCCGCCGUUUUUGCUGAAAUGUUCAAGCGGUGUUGUGCGAAAUUCAGAACAAAUUGACAUUGUUGAUAGCCGAGGUUUUAACCUGAGCUUCAAAACCAACAAUAUUGAUGAGAAGCAUGGCAUCUUUCACUGACCGAGUCGAAGAUGCUUUUACGAGGAAAGAUGGGACUUUUAUGGGUCAACUCUACGGAGAGAUGUUCGAUUGCCUGAAAGUCAAAAGCAUUGUUACCAGCGAUAGUUUUUUGGAUCGUCUCGGUGUUGAUAUUUUCUGAAAUAUCAAUGCCGAAUUUUACAUACUGCAGACUGCCAAGACAAAGAACACAAAUUUGGUUGCCUUAAGUAAUAUUUCCUGAUGUCAAACAAAGCAACAUGCAAGCUGCUGGAAUGCGCCGUUGCUGCGGAAUAGGUCAUUAAAAUGUACAUAUGCUCGUAGGCAAUGAUGGUUAAUUCCAACCUUACCGCUGACAAAGAACUUGUUGCAGAAGUGAAAAGAUGUGAGAAAAAAUUAAAGAACAUUUAGUUCAGUGUUAUCGUCUAUUACAAGGCAAGUAACUAAGUCAGCUACUUGGUUGGAUUGUAAAUGCAUGUAAAAAUUCAUCUAUGAACUUACGGCUGUGCUCAAGAUUGCAAAUGCUCCAUAUGAAUCAUAUGCCUCGUAUAAUUAAUAUUAACUUGAAAGAAGAAUGUGCAAAACAUUAUGAUAACACAAUAAACUGCACGAGAGUAAAAGAAAUCUAGUCUUGUAUAUGUUUAUUUUGCUUAGUGCUUGUUUGAAUAUUAGCAAAUUAAUGACUGAUUACCAAAAGUUUUACCUUUUUGUUAGAUCGACUUUCUUUUGCUACUUUGCUUAAAUGUACCUGACUAUCUCUGUC